AAAUAAAUAAAGCAGUUUUUCUGAGCUUACUGUAUAAUAAGUGCUAUAUGUUAAUCUCAAACCACAUAAAUCCUCCCUACAAAGAACUGACCAUUCUACUAAGGGAAAAAUCACACACAGAGAAGUGCUGGAAAAGAAGAUGAGGUGGUGGCCAGGUUCCCAGCAAGAUGAGAUUCUCUGGAGCCAAGCAGUGCAAGUCUAAUGUUUAUUCCACUCGACAGCUCUUCAAACACUUAAAGACACAUAUCUCCUGUACCUCUGGAAACUUCUCUUCUUUUGGGAUAAGGGAGAGACUGACUGGCUGAACACCAUCCCCUUCCCACUGAGAAAAGGUCUGAGAUAAGACUGGGCUGACUUUGUGAGCUCCAGGCAGAGACUGCAGCUGUGAAGUAUAGCCUUUGACCCAUCCCAUAAGGUCCAGGGCUCUGACAACUGCUGGCAUGGAGGAAAUUGUGGGGACCACCUGGAUGGACACCCUUGACUGGUAGGUAUAGUGAAGAAUUUGCCUCAGGGCAGACUAGCUCAGCACAUUAGCUCAACCUGUUGAAUCCAAUAUAUCAGUAGAGUACUGAGAAAAAAGAAGAUUUGACCUCAGGGCAUAGUGGCUCAAACACUCUGGUUCAGUAAAUCAGUAGAGGGGCAAGUUCAUAGUCCAUAGG
rnacentral:lncRNA from 1 species